GAGAAAAUUGAGAACAAAAAUGUUGUGAUGGGUUUGAAUAUCGAUUGCAGGAAUCGUUUAGAACCAACGACUCCUGCAACAUAUUUUGGAAAUUGUAUUGGAGCAAGACUUGCAAUUGUUAAAACAAGUGAGUUAUUUGGAGAAAAUGGAUUAAUUGUGGCUGUUGAAAUGUUAAGUGAAGCUUUGGAAACUAUAAAAGAUGGAGUGUUGAAUGGAGCUGAAAAUUGGUCUUCAUUGUUACUUGAAGGUCUUGCCAUGGCCGAUGUUAAAAUGAUUGGUGCUGCUGGUUCACCUAAAUUUGAGGUUUAUAGUACUGAUUUUGGAUGUGGAAAACCAAAAAAAGUUGAAAUGGUUUCAAUAGAUAGAACUGGUGCUUUUUGUCUUUCUGAUAGUAGAAAUGGUGAUGGUGUUGAGAUAGGUUUUGUGUCUAACAAAAAAGCAAUGGAAGCUUUUGCUUCGCUCUUUGUCAAAGGGUACCAUUUAAUUUAGGAAAGGAGAGUUCUUUUCUACCAUGGGAAAGUUGAUCAUGUCCAUUAGAUUAAAUGAGGAAUACAUUCUUAUCAUACUCUCUCAACCACUAGAUUAUUUUUUACACUAUCUUCCAACCUCUCUCUUUCAUGUUCUCACACUAUAUUUGUUUGAUCCUUGAAAAUGGUAUGCUAACAAGUUUUCCGGCAGCAACCAUGGUGGUGUGUGGUGGUGCAGUGGUGGUCAAAGUGAUUCUUGAAUUUGUGAUUUAGUGGUGGAUGUAUGGGUGUGGGGACAUGAAAGAGAGAGUGUGAAAGAUAGUAUAAAAAAAUAAUCUAAUGGUUGAGAGAGUAUGAUAGAAAUAUGUUCCUCAUUUAAUCUAAUGGAGAUGAUCAACUUUCCCAUGGUGGGAAAGAACUCUCCUUUCCUAAAUUAAAUGGCACCUUGUCAAAGGCAUUGCAUCUUGAGUUUCAUCAUGUGUAUGUGUAGACUUUAUUGGUUUGCAGGAAUACUUUUUCUUUGAUGUUUUUCAUUCUAUAAAUUACAUAUAAUUUGAAAGUCUUGUCACAUCUUGUGCUUGGUUCCACAGCAAAAUUGAUCAAUCACACGCAUUCAUAAUUUGCUUGAAAAUCAUAAGGCUUUCAAAUCUAUUAUAGAAUUCAAUAUUGUUACUAUUCUAGAUUCAUAAUUUGAUGACAAGUUUACGAAUUGAAAGAGGUCAUAUUGGUGAGUGGGAUAGAUGGCCGAAUGAAAGUGUUUUUGUUGGAACAUGGUUUGAUAAAGGGAUCCAAGUUGAAAUGAAAGGUCAAACUGAAGGAAAACCUCCACCUAAACGAAUUAUUAUUGUUAAUUAUUUUAUAGUUUAUUUUUUAUUUUUAAAUAUCAUUGUGUUUUUAUCUAUUCAAAUAGAAAAAAUAGAGACAAUUUAAAAUGGAGAGAGUCCAAUCUAAAACUUAAAAAUGAAGUAGGAUUCUCUCCAUUUGCAUGUAGAGGAUCAUGUAAUAUUUUGUAGUUCUUUUUAAUAUUUUAUGCACACGUUUUUCACUUUCAUUGAUGUAUGUUUUUAUUUGAAUGAAAUGAACGUUAUUAACCUUCAUCCUUCUAUAUAUAAUGAGCAUUUCGAUAGUUUUCUACCAGAGUAACAAAAGCGAGAUUUUAAAAAUACAUUUGCGGUGGUUAUCUAUCGGAGUAACAAAAUUGAAAUUAUAAAAAACCACUUCCAAGAGUUAUCUACUGGAAGCACAAAAUCAAAAUUUUUAAAAAUGAACCUCUGAUAGUUAACUAUCAGGAGUGUUAUUAAGGACAGUUUUGUAAUUUUAGAGGUCUAAAGAAAUAUGAGGGGGGCCUAAAAAGAAACAUCCAUGAUUUUGAUGUUGUUAUUGAUAGAAGUUUUGUUGAUUUUUUAGCUGUGUGUUGAAAUAUAAUAGGGAAACUAUCUUUAUGACCCAAACUAGUGUUCUACCUCAAAAAAAAAAGCCCAAACGUAAUAAUUAAGAGUUAUAAAAAGUUAAGGAAACAAACGUUAUUUCAUUAAAUUCAUGAAGGAGUUUUAUAAGGAAUAUAUUACUAAAUCAAAGAGUUCUAUCUGACAUAAAUGUAUCAGGAGAGAAUAAAAGAGUCACAAACUAUAUGUACAAGAAAAAUGAAACAACAAAGCUGAGAUAAGACAGUUAAUCAAUGCAUAACAUAAUAAACGGAUAAAACCACCAUCCAUGAUAAUUCAUUGGAAAAGAGGCAAAUUUUGCCUUCAACCACAUAUAACGAACAAAUGUUAAUAAAGGACUUAAAAGAUCACCGAUAUUAAGGAAACAAUGUUAUAAAAUUUCAUUAAAAUCGCCAUGAUGGAGUUUUAUACUACAUCCAGUCUUUGUUCUUUACUAACAAAUAAUCAAAUAACACUGUUUCCUGCUUCAAAAGAGAAGAAAAUUUGUUUCCUUAAUAUUUUUUCUGUACUAAAAACGCUAUUUGUUCUUUUAUUUUUUUACAAUAAAACAAUUAAUGUCACUAUUAACGUAAUAAAGUCAUUAUUAAAAAAAAACACAUUACACCACACAAAAACAAUUGUAAUAAAAGAAUAAUAAAUAAUUUAAGUCUCUUAGUUGUUUUUAGGGAAACCUCUUAAUUUCUUUUUUAAGAAUCUAAAAUCAAAUUAUAUCAAACAAACUACAUCAUUUUCUCCACAGAAGGAGUGCCAAAGAAGAACAAAGAAAAGAAAGUAGAAGUUACAUCAAGUUAGGGUGCAAAAAACCAGGUUACGAAACUUUUUUUAAGCACAAAAGAGGAUUUAGCCACCACAUAUGGUAAUUAAAAGAAUUUUUUUACAUGAUUCACCUUUAGCCAGCAAAAAGUUUGUAAUUUAAUUUUAUCAAGUAGGUGAUGAAGAACAUUCUCCUUUUCCUGGAAAAUUCGAGCAUUCUCUCUUGUUAGAUGACCCAAAUAGUUGAAAACAAAAUCAAAUGAAGAACUACGCGUAUCUUUUUUGAAAACCCUCACAAUGCAAAAAAAUGAAUUAAGUGAUAUGAGACAAGAGAUGAGUUUAAGGGAUGAAGCCCAGCCAGUUAUAAAAGGAUGAUAUGAGGCCUCUGAGUUACCACACCGUUCUACAAAAAGAUGAUUAAUAGCAAUGAUCACACCUCUCCGAAUUAAGUUGUCAUUUAUUGAAAUACGAUUACAAAGUAACCUCCAUGUAGAGAGACAGACUUUCAAAGGGACCUCUUUAUACCAAAUGAGAUGAGAAUUGAUGUCUAUGAUGUGUUGAUCCACUGAAUUUAAAAAGUUAUAAGCACUACUCACAUUAUACUUUUUUGAAGCAUGUAACUCUCAUUCAAAUCCUCGUGCAAAACAAUAGAAUUCAACAAGGAACAAUACUCUCCUAAUUGGUCCUCCUCUCAAGCCCACAACCUCCCCCACCAUCUCCAAGCCUCACCACCCUCACCCAACCUAACUCAUUCAUUUCAGCCACCGUUACCAUAUUAUUAUUAGAAAGAUAAAUAAGACGACUGAAUCUAUCCUUUACAACCCCUCUGUCUAACCAAAGAUCCCACCAAAAUAAAGUUGAAGCUCUGUCUCCUAACUUACACCUUAAGUUAUCAUCAACCCACCUUCCUACUCCAACACCAACAUCAUGACUAACACUAAUUAUAUUAUUCCACCGAACCAAACCUCCUCCGCCAUCUUCACCAACAGAACCCUCUUCCUCUUCAUACCUACCUGAUAAAACUCUACCAAAAAAUUCAAGACUCCUACUUCAGCCUCCAACACCAUUUACCUAAUAAAAGUAUAUUGAAUUUCUUUAACUCCCUUAAGAAAUAAUUUUUUUUUAUAGUUUUGAUAAUAUAAAAAAUUAAAUUAGUAAAGAAAAAAAGUUAAACUUUUUUCUCUUAUUCUCAUGCACUAAAUUUAGAGAGAGAUUUCACAAUAUUUUUCUCAUAAAAAUUCUAAACAAUUUAACUUUUUUGGUAGUGAUACUUUUUUAUUAUGCUAUUUCAAUAUAAACAAUUAUCAAUUAUAAAAUCUUGCUCCCAACUAUCAAAAUUGAUUUAGUCACUGCCCCACAUAUAGCGAGAUUUGAGGCUCUAAAAUAUUUAAGAUAACCAUGUGGUCCACAACAGACAACUCGAACAUUUGUCCAUCCAAAUGUUUUACUCAAAUAGGUUCCUAGUAUUUAUAUUUAACUAAUGCGCAUCCCAUGCACUUCCCAUCAUAGAGUAAAAAACACAAUUAAUUGCUAUGCUUUUCUUGAAAAGUAUUGAUUCCUGCCGUCUCAUCAGAAAAAUGCUUAAUUAAUGAUGUGGUCUUUUAAGUUAUUUUUUGGUGACAUUUUAGUCUCAUAAGUUAUUAACAUUACAAUUUGGUCUCUUUAAGCUAUUUUCCGUCAACCAAAUAAAUCCCCACCGUCAAAACCGUUAACCCAAUGUCUAAAGUGGAUACACAUUGCAAGUUGUCACGUCACCGUUCACAUGUGCCUAUUUAACGUUUUGGCAAAAGACUGACAGUGAGGAUUUAUUUGGCAAACAGAUACUAACUUAAUGGACCAAAUUGUAACGUUAAUAACUUAUGGGAUCAAAAUGUAACCGACAACUAACUUAAGGGACCAAAUCAUUAAUUAAGCCUCCGAAAAACAAGAAUAAAAAACAACUCUGUCUUACCAUAUUCUUCAAUUUUUUCAACAACCAAAUUUCUAAGAAAUGUCUAAAAUCAUAGAAAUUUUCAAUGUAUCACCAUCUUCACAGGAAGAACUUCCUUUAGAAACAUCACUUCCUCUUACUUUCUUGGACAUAUUAUGGUUAAGAUUACCACCAGUUCAAAGAAUUUUCUUCUAUGAAUUUCCACACCAAACCUCACUUUUCUACAACACCCUUCUUCCCAAACUCAAAAAAUCACUUUCCAUUGCACUUUCUUACUUUUAUCCUCUUUUGGGUCAUCUCACUUGGCCUAAUGAUUCUCACAAGCCAAUCAUCAAAUUCAUCAAGGGAAACCCUCUUUCACUUACCAUAGCUGAAUCUGAUGCUGAUUUCAAUCAUCUUUCAGGUAAGAAUCUUACUGAAGCUAAACAAAUUCAUGAUCUUUUACCUAACUUGAAUAUUUCUCAUGAUCAAGCUUCUAUUUUGGCUCUUCAAGUUACUCUUUUUCCAAACUAUGGAUUUUCAAUUGGUAUUACUUCACAUCAUGCUGUUUUAGAUGGUAAAACUUCAACUUCUUUUAUCAAAUCUUGGGCUUACCUAUGUAGAAAGCUUGAAAAUGAAGUAUCUGAAUUAGAAUUACCCCUUUGUUUGCCACAUGAGUUUUGUCCUUUCUAUGAUAGAAAAAUAAUCAAGGAUCCAAAUGAAUUAGAGGCGAAAUAUUUGAGUGAUUGGUUAAAGCAAGGUGGAACCAACAAUAGAAGUUUAAUGGUCUGGGAUCUUCAAGUCCCAGAAGAUUCAUUUAGAGGGUUAUUUCAAUUAUCUCGUUCGAAUAUCGAAAAGCUUAAGGAAUUUGUAGUGUCAAAACAAAAGGGUACUAGGAAUGAGAAUAAAAAUCUUCACCUGUCAACUUUUGUUGUAUCUAUAGCUUAUGCAUGGGUAUGCAGAGUGAAAACAGAAGAAAUUGAGAACAAAAAUGCUAUGAUGGUUUUGAAUAUUGAUUGUCGUAAUCGUUUAGAUCAGCCGAUUCCUGCAACAUAUUUUGGAAAUUGUAUUGGAGGAAAACUUGCAAUUGUUAAAACAAAUGAGUUAUUGGGGGAAGAUGGACUAAUUGUGGCUGUUGAAGUGUUGAGUGAAGCUUUGGAAACUUUAAAAGAUGGAGUGUUGAAUGGAGCUGAAAAUUGG
rnacentral:lncRNA from 1 species